UGGACUUCAAGGAGGCUACUUGAGACUAUAUUAGGAAUUAGGGUUAGUCUUUUGAGAUGAUUUUAAACAUCAGAGGCUAGGAUCAACAAGUUUAUAUUUUUGGCUAUAGUUUUGGUGUAAAUUUUGAAUUAUUUGGAAUUUUUAUGAAGGAGAUAUAAGUGCUCAAAGUCAAGGUGUUGAUUUUGUAUCUAUUAUCACUCUUUUUGAUAUAAUGCAUGCAUACAUAAAGCAAUAAAGUAUUGGCAUAUUAUUUGAAGGAUUUCAAGUUGUAAUAAAAGUGAUAUUAGAAGUUGAAGUAAGCACUUGGAAUCUAAGGAGUAGUAAGUGAU
rnacentral:lncRNA from 1 species